UACGUAGGGUGCGAGCGUUAAUCGGAAUUACUGGGCGUAAAGCGUGCGCAGGCGGUUCGUUAAGUCUGAUGUGAAAUCCCCGGGCUCAACCUGGGAAUGGCAUUGGUGACUGUACGGCUAGAGUGUGUCAGAGGGGGGUAGAAUUCCACGUGUAGCAGUGAAAUGCGUAGAGAUGUGGAGGAAUACCGAUGGCGAAGGCAGCCCCCUGGGAUAACACUGACGCUCAUGCACGAAAGCGUGGGGAGCAAACAGG
rnacentral:rRNA from 1 species